AACAAUGUGGUCAAGAGUAUUGUAUUAGAGAAAGACCGUAUUGCAUUUGUAAUCCUAAACUGAAUAGGUUCUUUACCUCUUCUGAUUAGCUUGGGUAACCAUGAUAUGCUGCUAGGUGUCACUCAUGGUUUGUGGAAGCCCUAAACGUGUAUAAAUCACUAAAGGGAGAAUUGAAAGUAAGUUUCAAUUCACAAUCGAUUUUAAAGAGUUUUUAAUCGCCCACUGCCUCGCUAAAAUGAACCUAAUGGAUCGUACACCGUGUAAGGUGGAGAUUGAAGAAACAAUGGAGAUGAGUAAGAAUAAUUAAAU
rnacentral:lncRNA from 1 species